GUCUCGUGCUGCUCAGGCUCAUGGCAGUGCUCCCUUUGAACUCUCUGUGGUUUGUAGUUCUCACCACUUGCUCAAAAUGAAGCAGAAUGCAACGGUUCAUAUAAUAUUAUGUCUCAGGAAGAGUGUAUGUAACAGUACCCGUGCUGAUAUGAGCCGGUUGACGCUUGGACAUCACAGACCUCUGUAUGGUGCUCCCAGAGGUCUGACAUGUAUUUUGCUAAAUCCUUCCAUCAAUAAAACCCAUGCUGCCUGCUUCUAGAUGGGUGAGAGGAGAAUGAUGGCAAAAGAAUUUGGUAUAUCCUUGCUCCCACCUUCCUGUUCUUGAAAGCACAGGACAUCUGUGGGAGGAUUAUCUCUGGAGGCCUUGAUGGAGAGUACCAACCAGUCUUCAUGUGAAGACACUCUGCGUUCCUCAGCACUUACCCGUGAUCUGCAUCCUUGACUAAUCAUCUCCUUGCGGAGAUGCCAGUGGAAGUGAUUGAGACAAAGGGGCGUAGCAUCAUCUUGAUGCUGAAGAGCUUUCAGAGGAGGUAAGGACAGGAUAUAUUAUGGAGCUAAAUUCUCACGGGCAAAUAAUAAGUCCUAGCACCUGCUGGCUGGAACCCACAGGCUGUGACCUUCUGUCUCCUCCAAUGUUUGUGUUUUCCUCUGCGGGAAAGAGCAACAUGGUAAAGAAUUCCUAUUAUUUCAAAUAUUUCACCAUGGUGUUAUCUAGCCUAGUCUAAACAAUGGUCCCGAUUGCUCUUGAGAGUUGUACUCUGCAGGAGAAAACGGUAACAAAUGUUAUUCCCAGUGUGUUCCCCCCCACCACGGGGACACAGAUAUUUGUGACAUGGAAUGGCAGUGUGCUACUGGAAGCAUCAAUCCAGAUAUGUUAGCUGAAAAAGAGGAAAAAAUUGCCUCCCUUGCCAAAUUCCAAACUGAUCCACCCAGAAGAAGAUCCAUGCUGUGAUGCUUCUGUCCUGGAUGUGCCAUUUGUUGAUGCAGGAAGUGGAUCACAUCCCAGGCUCUGGGAAUGUGCAGGAUGUGUCACUUGCCCCAUUGCCUUACAAACAAUAAAUCUCUAAAACCUCACUAAAAGCUGUAAUACUGCAAAAGCUGCAGCCAUGGCAAUUAUUUGCCUUCAUGUUCACUGACCCACUGAAGGAACCAGGCUGUGAACACCCUGACUCUAGUGGGAAAUGCCUGGACAGCCAGACCUGACCCAAAUGUCCAAACACAGCCAAACUUCAGCCUGAAUACACAUAACACAGUUAAUCCCGACUUAAUUUAUGGCAGCCUGAACCUGAAUGUGAACUCACCCACUGUGUUACCAGAGAUCCGAACCUGGAUUUGGCUCCCAAAUAGCUUGGGUCUAGGUCUUGAAAUUACCCAGUUGUUGGCUGCAGUCUGCUUUGGAGCUGGAGAUUUAUUUCUCCAGGAGGCAGGAAAACACAUUGUGUUGCCAAACUACUUCCAGUCUUUUCCAGAAUUACAAGUCAGGGGAUGGUGGGUAAGUCUUGUGAUUUUCAUCCUACAAUCUAAACCAGAUGGACUACUCUCGCAGCAUAAAUAUUUAAGCAAAGAAAAGGAAAAAAAAAAAAAAAAAAAAACUGGCAGAAAAAGUUCAGUUUCUUAAUUAAUUGCAUUAUUAUGACUUGCACUAUUUAACAGGAUGCGCAUAAAGCUGGUCUACAAGAUAGUUUGAUCACCUUCUUUGAUUCAUCUCAAUAAAAUCUGGAGUUUUUGUUUUCUCGGGGAUAAUGAAGUAACUGUAGAAUAAUAAAGUGGCUCUGCUUAUUGGAAACAGAAAGCUCUCAGCUUUCGGAAGAAAAGAUCCUCUCGGUGAAGCUCGUGCUGUAUUAAUCCAAAAAUACAAAUAAGUGGAGGUGAUCUGGAAAGCCUGUGUUACUGACAUCAGCCCAGCAUUUCUGCCACUGAAGAUCCUCUUCUCCGGCCUCAACUCAAAAAAUCUUUGUGGCAGAUUUGGCAUUGCCUGUAAUAAUUUAUGAACGUGAUGUGUUGACAUGUUUACUGUGUGCAUACAUUGAGCUACUUCAAUCGCUGCCUUGUCAGGAAGUGUACCCAGGAGAGAACAGAUGAAUCCAGGCACGCGGUUUGGAGGAAACACUGGGGAGCUGAAGCAAGCGCCCUUUGCUGUGACAUUUUGGCUGGGCCCCUGCUGGGCUCACAGGAGAGAUUUCCCUGGGAGAACAUGGGUGCCUGUGAAGGAAGGCACAGAAGGCCCUGGGGGAUUCACAGUGAACCAUUUAAAUGGAGGCUUUGGAGAGCGAGAACCCGAAAGGGGCUGAAAGCGCUCAGAUCUGCAGGUACCUAAUUCAGUACAUGUUGGCGAUAAAGGGGAUGUGGAACAUUUGUUUAACCGCCGUGCUUUAUUUCAGUGGUGAAAUGGCUCUUCUGUUUUAUAAACAUGGUUUAGGUUGCACAAGAGAGCUGGAUGCCUCUGUUCCCAGGUCCAUGUGGGAAUCAUGGUGAUUGUGCUGGGUAGGCUGGCUGGAGUUUGGCAAAGCUACCUCAGCCUGCCUGCAGGAAGGUGAGAGCUUGAGGCCUGGCAGCCUUCCCCAGACGGGAAGGCAGAAAGGCCACUGAUAGCUGAGAUCCAGCAGUAACCAUAACAAUACCAUCAUCUUUCUUAAAAGUCCCAGCACGUAAUUCUACUAAUGACUUUUAUUAAACAUUUAAGCCUUAGCCUUCAAGUGAUUCAUAUUUGUUACAAAACACCAUCCCAUUAACACAAAGUACAAGCCGAAACAAAGUUAAUGAGCCCUAAUGCUUGCCGGAUAAUACGAAGUUUGAGUGAUACUAACAAAAAUAAAAUUAGGAAGAAAUCUACUUUCAUUGUCCA
ensembl:lncRNA